rnacentral:snoRNA from 15 species
GAGGCUGUGAUGAUUGGCGCAGGGGUACGGACCUCAGCUGAAUCAUGGGAGCUGAAUGUAUGUGUGUCUCUGCCCUCCUGCAUGUGGCAGGUUGAUGGGGAGCACUUACAUGAGACUGGUGCCUAAAUCUGAGCCUC